rnacentral:rRNA from 1 species
AGAGUUUGAUCAUGGCUCAGGAUGAACGCUAGCUACAGGCUUAACACAUGCAAGUCGAGGGGAAACGAUAUUGGAAGCUUGCUUCCGAUAGGCGUCGACCGGCGCACGGGUGAGUAACGCGUAUCCAACCUGCCCACCACUUGGGGAUAACCUUGCGAAAGUAAGACUAAUACCCAAUGAUAUCUCUAGAAGACAUCUGAAAGAGAUUAAAGAUUUAUCGGUGAUGGAUGGGGAUGCGUCUGAUUAGCUUGUUGGCGGGGUAACGGCCACCAAGGCGACGAUCAGUAGGGGUUCUGAGAGGAAGGUCCCCCANAUUGGAACUGAGACACGGUCCAAAACUCCGUACGGGAGGCA